rnacentral:rRNA from 1 species
GACGAACGCUGGCGGCGUGCCUAACACAUGCAAGUCGAACGAGCGAGAGAGAGCUUGCUUUCUUGAGCGAGUGGCGAACGGGUGAGUAACGCGUGAGGAACCUGCCUCUAAGAGGGGGACAACAGUUGGAAACGACUGCUAAUACCGCAUAAGCCCACGGUGCCGCCUGGCACAGAGGGAAAAGGAGCAAUCUGCUUUGAGAUGGCCUCGCGUCCGAUUAGCUUGUUGGUGAGGUAACGGCCCACCAAGGCGACGAUCGGUAGCCGGACUGAGAGGUUGAACGGCCACAUUGGGGCUGAGACACAGCCCAGACUCCUACGGGAGGCAGGAGUGGGGAAUAUUGCACAAGGGCGGAAACCCUGAUGCAGCGACGCCGCGUGGAGGAAGAAGGUCGUCGGAUUGUAAACUCCUGUUGUUGGGGAAGAUAAUGACGGUACCCAACAAGGAAGAGACGGCUAACUACGUG